GAGUUUGAUCUUGGCUCAGGAUGAACGCUGGCGGCGUGCCUAAUACAUGCAAGUCGAACGGAACACUGUAGCAAUACAUUGUUUAGUGGCGAACGGGUGAGUAACGCGUUGGUGACCUGCCUCGAAGCGGGGGAUAACAGUCCGAAAGGAUUGCUAAUACCCCAUGUGGCCAUAAGGGUUAGAGGCCUUAUGACUAAAGGAGUAAUUCACUUCGAGAGGGGCCUGCGUCCCAUCAGCUAGUUGGUAGGGUAAUGGCCUACCAAGGCUUAGACGGGUAGGGGACCUGAGAGGGUGACCCCCCACACUGGAACUGAAAACGGUACCACGACACCUACGGGUGGCAGCAGUAGGGAAUAUUGCACAAUGGACGAAAGUCUGAUGCAGCAACGCCGCGUGUGCGAUGAAGGCCUUCGGUUGUAAGAC
rnacentral:rRNA from 1 species